rnacentral:pre_miRNA from 1 species
CACUGUUAACAUCUUACCGGGCAGCAUUAGAUUUUUUUGAUAUCUCUAAUACUGUCAGGUAAAGAUGUCCUCCGGC